CCAAUAUUAAUAUAACAAGGG
rnacentral:siRNA from 1 species